ACGGGGUGCAGCAGGCGCGAAAACUCCGCAAUACACGAAAGUGUGACGGGGGAACCCCGAGUGCACUCACGCAAGUGAGCGCUUUUGUGAAGUGUAAAUAGCUUCACGAAUAAGAGCUGGGUAAGACCGGUGCCAGCCGCCGCGGUAACACCGGCAGCUCGAGUGGUGAUCACUAUUAUUGGGCCUAAAGCGUCCGUAGCCGGUUUGGUAAGUCCUUGGGCAAAUCCUGUCGCUUAACGGCAGGAAUUCUGAGGAUACUGUCAGACUUGAGGCCGAGAGAGGUCGGAGGUACUUCUGGGGUAGCGGUGAAAUGCUAUAAUCCUAGAGGGACCACCGGUGGCGAAGGCGUCCGACUAGAGCGGGCCUGACGGUAAGGGACGAAAGCCAGGGGAGCGAACGGGAUUAGAUACCCCGGUAGUCCUGGCCGUAAACGCUGUGGGCUAGGUGUUGCAUGCUCUACGAGGGCGUGCAGUGCCGAAGAGAAGUUGAUAAGCCUACCGCCUGGGAAGUACUAUCGCAAGAUAGAAACUUAAAGGAAUUGGCGGGGGAGCACCACAAGGGGUGAAGUCUGCGGUUCAAUUGGAUUCAACGCCGGAAAUCUCACUGGAAGCGACGGCAGAAUGACAGCCAAGCUGAUGACUUUGCUUGACGAGCCGAGAGGAGGUGCAUGGCCGUCGUCAGCUCGUACCGUAAGGCGUCCUGUUAAGUCAGGCAACGAGCGAGACCCGUGCCCUUAUUUGUCAGUUAGUCC
rnacentral:rRNA from 1 species